rnacentral:tRNA from 1 species
AGUAGGGUCAGCUAAAAAAGCUAUCGGGCCCAUACCCCGAAAAUGCCAAGACGGCCCCUACUA